AUGAUUCGGUCCAGCGAAAGAUCGGUUCGGUCAUCGGGUGAGACCGAACAACACCGGUCUACAAGCAAGAAAGCAACCGCAGAAAUCCAGCAAUCGCUGCUUGGUUGCUUGGUUCAUGAGUUGCAGCCUUGCUUUUUUGCCUUUAGGGCGAGGGUGUGGGAAGCAGUGGAGGUUGGCGAGAAGGAAGAUUGGCCAGGGGGAGAUGGCGCCGGCUGCCGGAACACUACCACUGGCUGCUGGAGUGCGAGAGUAAGGGCGACUGGUGUUAUGGUGGAGGUCGCCGUGGAGGGAGCGAGAGGAGAAGGCGCUGGAUGCGGGCUGCUAGACAACCGCCGCCGCUAA
rnacentral:rRNA from 1 species